AAGCGUGCGAGAGAGCGAGGUGCACCAGCGGGCAUGGAUGGCCUGUGCAGAGUCCAGUCUUGUGAGGGCGGCGAACUAGGCAGCGAAUCGCGGGAGUUUCCUAUUGGCAGCAGUCCGAGUCCCAGACGUUAAUUUGUAACAAAAGUAGCGAUGGCCAAGCCCAUAAAGGGGGCAUCUCGGAAAGCCGUUCGCAUGCACGGAAGAGAUGAAAGCCCCGUGCGCGCUAGAAAACGGUUUCGCAACUCACUUCGGGAAGCAAAUGCGCUGCCCCCCAAAACAUAAAGUUGGCGAACUGUGCCUGACCCCGCUGGGGUUUUGGAAUGCCUCGUCCUCACAGGAAAAAAAUCCAGGGAAAUCAUCUUUUCCUUAAAAAGCAAAAGUGUCCAAAUUAUUUCUGUGACUGAAGUAGUUUGUCUGCGGUUGGCCAGUGACAUGGCAAGGCCUUGUUUGUGCAUUUAAGGAAUGCAUGCCUAUCCAGAAAAACACAAAACACACGCAUGUCAGGCCUCUGAGCCCAAGCCUGCACAUAUACAUCCAGAUGGCCUGAAGCAACUGAAGAAUCACAAAAGAAGUGAAAAUGCUGAAGCAACUGAAGAAUCACAAAAGAAGUGAAAAUGGCCGGUUCCUGCCUUAACUGAUAAGACAGUCACCUGUCCUCCUGCUCUUUGCUCUGUGAGAAAGAUCCACCUACAACCUCGGGUCCUCAGACCAACCAGCUCCAGGAACAUCUCACCAAUUUUAAAUUGGAAGACAAGAAUGUCAGGACUCUGAGCCCAAGCCUGCACAUAUACAUCCAGAUGGCACGAAGCUACUGAAGAAUCACAAAAGAAGUGAAAAUGGUCGGUUCCUGCCUUAACUGAUGACAUUACCUUGUGAAAUUCCUUCUGGCUCAGAAGCUCCCCCACUGAGCACCUUGUGACCCCCGCCCCUGCCCUCAAGAGAACAACCCCCUUUGACUGUAAUUUUCCACUACCUACCCAAAUCCUAUAAAACUGCCCCAGCCCUAACUUCCUUUGCUGACUCUCUUUUUGGACUUAGCCCACCUGCAAUUAAAAAGCUUUAUUGCUCACACAAAGCCUGUUGGUGGUCCCUUCACACGGACACACGUGACAAUGCACACAC
rnacentral:lncRNA from 10 species